rnacentral:rRNA from 1 species
GAUGAACGCUGGCGGCGUGCUUAACACAUGCAAGUCGAACGAUGAAGCCCAGCUUGCUGGGUGGAUUAGUGGCGAACGGGUGAGUAACACGUGAGUAACCUGCCCUUAACUCUGGGAUAAGCCUGGGAAACUGGGUCUAAUACCGGAUAGGAGCGUCCACCGCAUGGUGGGUGUUGGAAAGAUUUAUCGGUUUUGGAUGGACUCGCGGCCUAUCCGCUUGUUGGUGAGGUAAUGGCUCACCAAGGCGACGACGGGUAGCCGGCCUGAGAGGGUGACCGGCCACACGGGGACUGAGACACGGCGCAGACUCCAACGGGAGGCAGCGGUGGGGAAUAUUGCACAAUGGGCGCAAGCCUGAGGCAGCGACGCCGCGUGAGGGAUGACGGCCUUCGGGUUGUAAACCUCUUUCAGUAGGGAAGAAGCGAAAGUGACGGUACCUGCAGAAGAAGCACCGGCUAACUACGUG